rnacentral:rRNA from 1 species
UACAGAGGUCUCAAGCGUUGUCCGGAAUCAUUGGGCGUAAAGGGCGCGUAGGUGGCCACUUCAAGCGUGCGGUGAAAGUCGGGGGCUCAACCCCUGAUCGGCCGUGCGAACUGGGGGGCUGGAGCACUGUAGAGGCAGGCGGAAUUCCGGGUGUAGCGGUGGAAUGCGUAGAGAUCCGGAAGAACACCUGCGGUGUAGACGGCUUACUGGACCAUAACUGACGCUGAGGCACGAAAGCGUGGGUAGCAAACAGG